rnacentral:rRNA from 1 species
UACGGGGGGGGCAAGCGUUGUUCGGAAUUACUGGGCGUAAAGCGCACGUAGGCGGAUAUUUAAGUCAGGGGUGAAAUCCCAGAGCUCAACUCUGGAACUGCCUUUGAUACUGGGUAUCUCGAGUAUGGAAGAGGUGAGUGGAAUUCCGAGUGUAGAGGUGAAAUUCGUAGAUAUUCGGAAGAACACCAGUGGCGAAGGCGGCUCACUGGCCCGGUACUGACGCUGAGGUGCGAAAGCGUGGGGAGCAAACAGG